GCCGGGAUAGCUCAGUUGGAGAGCAGGGGACUGAAAAUCCUCGUGUCACCAGUUCAAA
rnacentral:tRNA from 1 species